rnacentral:rRNA from 1 species
GACGAACGCUGGCGGCGUGCUUAACACAUGCAAGUCGAACGGAAAGGCCCUGCUUUUGUGGGGUGCUCGAGUGGCGAACGGGUGAGUAACACGUGAGUAACCUGCCCUUGACUUUGGGAUAACUUCAGGAAACUGGGGCUAAUACCGGAUAGGAGCUCCUGCUGCAUGGUGGGGGUUGGAAAGUUUCGGCGGUUGGGGAUGGACUCGCGGCUUAUCAGCUUGUUGGUGGGGUAGUGGCUUACCAAGGCUUUGACGGGUAGCCGGACUGAGAGGGUGACCGGCAACAUUGGGACUGAGAUACGGCCAAGACUCCUACGGGAGGGAGAAGUGGGGAAGAUGGAAAAAUGGGCGGAAGCAUGAUGCAGCAACGCCGAGUGCGGGAUGACGGCCUUCGGGUUGUAAACCGAUUGCGCCUGUGACGAAGCGGGAGUGACGGUAAUGGGUAAAGAAGCACCGGCUAACUACGUG